AGUGAACGCUGGCGGUAGGCCUAACACAUGCAAGUCGAACGGCAGCACAGUAAGAGCUUGCUCUUACGGGUGGCGAGUGGCGGACGGGUGAGGAAUACAUCGGAAUCUACUUUUUCGUAGGGGAUAACGUAGGGAAACUUACGCUAAUACCGCAUACGACCUACGGGUGAAAGCAGGGGAUCUUCGGACCUUGCGCGAUUGAAUGAGCCGAUGUCGGAUUAGCUAGUUGGCGGGGUAAAGGCCCACCAAGGCGACGAUCCGUAGCUGGUCUGAGAGGAUGAUCGGCCACACGGGAACUGAGACACGGUCCAGACUCCUGCGGGAGGCAGCAGUGGGGAAUAUUGGACAAUGGGCGCAAGCCUGAUCCAGCCAUACCGCGUGGGUGAAGAAGGCCUUCGGGUUGUAAAGCCCUUUUGUUGGGAAAGAAAAGCAGCAGGUUAAUACCCCGCUGUUCUGACGGUACCCAAAGAAUAAGCACCGGCUAACUUCGUG
rnacentral:rRNA from 1 species